GGCCUCUUGGUGCUUACCACAGGCUGUGUUCUUACACUGACUGUGUAGAAAGAGGAGGCAAAGUAAACCUACCCCAUAUACACCUCAGCCCAGGCCCUGUGCCUGUCUGUAUUGUGAAUUGGGAGACAUGG
rnacentral:snoRNA from 1 species